rnacentral:rRNA from 1 species
UACGUAGGGGGCAAGCGUUGUCCGGAAUUAUUGGGCGUAAAGAGCGUGUAGGCGGUCCGGUAAGUCGGCUGUGAAAGUCCAGGGCUCAACCCUGGGAUGCCGGUCGAUACUGCCGGACUAGAGUUCGGAAGAGGCGAGUGGAAUUCCCGGUGUAGCGGUGAAAUGCGUAGAUAUCUGGAGGAACACCGGUGGCGAAGGCGACAUCCUGGACCGGUAUUGACGCUGAGGCGCGAAAGCCAGGGGAGCAAACGGGG